GCGCACGGUGGUUUAGUGGUUAGCACGUUCAUCUCACGCCUCACACCGCCAGGAUCGGUGGUUCGAUUCCCACCGUGGCG